UACGUAGGGUGCGAGCGUUGUCCGGAAUUAUUGGGCGUAAAGAGCUCGUAGGCGGUCUGUCGCGUCGGUCGUGAAAACUUGGGGCUCAACCCUGGACCUGCAUUCGAUACGGGCAGACUAGAGUUCGGCGGGGGAGACUGGAAUUCCUGGUGUAGCGGUGAAAUGCGCAGAUAUCAGGAGGAACACCGGUGGCGAAGGCGGAUCUCUGGGCCUUACCUGACGCUGAGGCGCGAAAGCUAGGGGAGCAAACAGG
rnacentral:rRNA from 1 species